CCUACGGGCGGCAGCAGUGAGGAAUAUUGGUCAAUGGACGAGAGUCUGAACCAGCCAAGUAGCGUGAAGGAUGACUGCCCUAUGGGUUGUAAACUUCUUUUAUAUGGGAAUAAAAUGUUCCACGUGUGGGAUUUUGUAUGUACCAUAUGAAUAAGGAUCGGCUAACUCCGUGCCAGCAGCCGCGGUAAUACGGAGGAUCCGAGCGUUAUCCGGAUUUAUUGGGUUUAAAGGGAGCGUAGGUGGAUUGUUAAGUCAGUUGUGAAAGUUUGCGUCUCAACCGUAAAAUUGCAGUUGAAACUGGCAGUCUUGAGUACAGUAGAGGUGGGCGGAAUUCGUGGUGUAGCGGUGAAAUGCUUAGAUAUCACGAAGAACUCCGAUUGCGAAGGCAGUUCACUGGACUGCAACUGACACUGAGGCUCGAAAGUGUGGGUAUCAAACAGGAUUAGAUACCCGAGUAGUC
rnacentral:rRNA from 1 species